GUCAGCCGCCGCGGUAACACCGGCGGCCCGAGUGGUGAUCGUGAUUAUUGGGUCUAAAGGGUCCGUAGCCGGUUUGGUCAGUCCUCCGGGAAAUCUGAUAGCUCAACUAUUAGGCUUUCGGGGGAUACUGCCAGACUUGGAACCGGGAGAGGUAAGAGGUACUACAGGGGUAGGAGUGAAAUCUUGUAAUCCCUGUGGGACCACCUGUGGCGAAGGCGUCUUACCAGAACGGGUUCGACGGUGAGGGACGAAAGCUGGGGGCACGAACCGGAUUAGAUACCCGGGUAGUCCCAGCCGUAAACGAUGCUCGCUAGGUGUCAGGCAUGGCGCGACCGUGUCUGGUGCCGCAGGGAAGCCGUGAAGCGAGCCACCUGGGAAGUACGGCCGCAAGGCUGAAACUUAAAGGAAUUGGCGGGGGAGCACAACAACGGGUGGAAGCCUGCGGUUUAAUUGGACUCAACGCCGGACAACUCACCGGGGGCGACAGCAAUAUGUAGGCCAAGCUGAAGACUUUGCCUGAAUCGCUGAGAAGAGGUGCAUGG
rnacentral:rRNA from 1 species